rnacentral:rRNA from 1 species
GACGAACGCUGGCGGCGUGCCUAAUACAUGCAAGUCGAGCGAAGUUUUUCUGGUGCUUGCACCGGAAAAACUUAGCGGCGAACGGGUGAGUAACACGUAAAGAACCUGCCUCAUAGACUGGGACAACUAUUGGAAACGAUAGCUAAUACCGGAUAACAGCAUUAACUGCAUGGUUGAUGUUUAAAAGUUGGUUUUGCUAACACUAUGAGAUGGCUUUGCGGUGCAUUAGCUAGUUGGUGGGGUAAAGGCCUACCAAGGCGACGAUGCAUAGCCGACCUGAGAGGGUGAUCGGCCACACUGGGACUGAGACACGGCCCAGACUCCUACGGGAGGCAGCAGUAGGGAAUCUUCCGCAAUGGGCGAAAGCCUGACGGAGCAACGCCGCGUGAGUGAAGAAGGAUUUCGGUUCGUAAAGCUCUGUUGUUAGGGAAGAAUGAUUGUGUAGUAAACUAUACAC